AGAGUUUGAUCCUGGCUCAGAUUGAACGCUGGCGGCAUGCCUAACACAUGCAAGUCGAACGGUAACAGGUCUUCGGAUGCUGACGAGUGGCGGACGGGUGAGUAACGCGUAGGAAUCUGUCUUUGAGUGGGGGACAACCCAGGGAAACUUGGGCUAAUACCGCAUAAGCCCUGAGGGGGAAAGCGGGGGAUCUUCGGACCUCGCGCUGGAAGAGGAGCCUACGUCUGAUUAGCUAGUUGGUAGGGUAAAGGCCUACCAAGGCGACGAUCGGUAGCUGGUCUGAGAGGACGACCAGCCACACUGGGACUGAGACACGGCCCAGACUCCUACGGGAGGCAGCAGUGGGGAAUUUUUCGCAAUGGGGGCAACCCUGACGAAGCAAUGCCGCGUGAAUGAAGAAGGCCUUCGGGUUGUAAAGUUCUUUCGUGGAGGACGAAAAGGUAGGUGCUAAUAUCGCCUGCCGUUGACGUGAAUCCAAGAAGAAGCACCGGCUAACUCCGUGCCAGCAGCCGCGGUAAUACGGGGGGUGCAAGCGUUAAUCGGAAUCACUGGGCGUAAAGGGUGCGUAGGCGGUGCAUUAGGUCUGUCGUGAAAUCCCCGGGCUCAACCUGGGAAUGGCGGUGGAAACCGGUGUACUAGAGUAUGGGAGAGGGUGGUGGAAUUCCAGGUGUAGCGGUGAAAUGCGUAGAGAUCUGGGAGGAACAUCAGUGGC
rnacentral:rRNA from 1 species